rnacentral:sRNA from 1 species
GUAAAAGUAGUGAAAACAAAAGCUGCCUUUUUAUUCACAGGCUAAAUACAGCAUACAGCAGCUGCACUGCAUGCUAAGCCCAUAUUAGCCUCUUUAUGACCUCAGUUUUGACCUUAAACAAAGUUUCUUGCUCCAUUUAAAAGAAGGUAUUAUUUUUCUUUCUAACCUGACUUCUCAUGAGGUUCU